AUUGAACGCUGGCGGCAUGCUUUACACAUGCAAGUCGAACGGUAACAGGCCGCAAGGUGCUGACGAGUGGCGAACGGGUGAGUAAUGCAUCGGAACGUGCCCAGUCGUGGGGGAUAACGCAGCGAAAGCUGUGCUAAUACCGCAUACGAUCUAUGGAUGAAAGCGGGGGACCGUAAGGCCUCGCGCGAUUGGAGCGGCCGAUGUCAGAUUAGGUAGUUGGUGGGGUAAAGGCUCACCAAGCCAACGAUCUGUAGCUGGUCUGAGAGGACGACCAGCAACACGGGGGCUGAGACACGGCCCAGACUCCUACGGGAGGCAGCAGUGGGGAAUCUUGGACAAUGGGCGCAAGCCUGAUCCAGCAAUGCCGCGUGCAGGAAGAAGGCCUUCGGGUUGUAAACUGCUUUUGUACGGAACGAAAAGGUUUGGGUUAAUACCCUGGGCCGAUGACGGUACCGUAAGAAUAAGCACCGGCUAACUACGUGCCAGCAGCCGCGGUAA
rnacentral:rRNA from 1 species